GGGGAUAUAGCUCAGUUGGUUGAGCGCUUUCUUAGCAUGCACAAGACCCUGGGUUCAAUCCCUAGUACCACCU
rnacentral:tRNA from 1 species